rnacentral:rRNA from 1 species
UACGGGGGGGGCAAGCGUUGUUCGGAAUUACUGGGCGUAAAGGGCUCGUAGGUGGCCAACUAAGUCAGACGUGAAAUCCCUCAGCUUAACUGGGGAACUGCGUCUGAUACUGGAUGGCUCGAGUUUGGGAGAGGGAUGCGGAAUUCCAGGUGUAGUGGUGAGAUGCGUAGAGAUCAGGAGGAACACCGGUGGCGAAGGCGGCCUACUGGGCUGUCUCUGACGCUGAGGCGCGAAAGCUCGGGGAGCGAACGGG